GAUGAACGCUGACAGAAUGCUUAACACAUGCAAGUCAACUUGAACUUCGGUUUGGGUGGCGGACGGGUGAGUAACGCGUAAAGAACUUGCCUCACAGAUAGGGACAACAUUUGGAAACGAAUGCUAAUACCUGAUAUUAUGAUUAUAUGGCAUCGUAUAAUUAUGAAAGCUAUAUGCGCUGUGAGAGAGCUUUGCGUCCCAUUAGCUAGUUGGAGAGGUAACGGCUCACCAAGGCGAUGAUGGGUAGCCGGCCUGAGAGGGUGAUCGGCCACAAGGGGACUGAGACACGGCCCUUACUCCUACGGGAGGCAGCAGUGGGGAAUAGUGGACAAUGGACCAAGAGUCUGAUCCAGCAAUUCGGUGUGCACGAUGAAGUUUUUCGGAAUGUAAAGUGCUUUCAGUGGGAAGAAAAAAAUGACGGUACCAACAGAAGAAGUGACGGCUAAAUACGUG
rnacentral:rRNA from 1 species